rnacentral:rRNA from 1 species
UACGAAGGGGGGCUAGCGUUGCUCGGAAUCACUGGGCGUAAAGGGUGCGUAGGCGGGUCUUUAAGUCAGGGGUGAAAUCCUGGAGCUCAACUCCAGAACUGCCUUUGAUACUGAGAGUCUUGAGUUCGGGAGAGGUGAGUGGAACUGCGAGUGUAGAGGUGAAAUUCGUAGAUAUUCGCAAGAACACCAGUGGCGAAGGCGGCUCACUGGCCCGAUACUGACGCUGAGGCACGAAAGCGUGGGGAGCAAACAGG